CCUACGGGGGGCAGCAGUGAGGAAUAUUGGUCAAUGGGCGGGAGCCUGAACCAGCCAAGCCGCGUGAGGGAAGAAGGUACAGCGUAUCGUAAACCUCUUUUGUCAGGGAACAAAGGCGGGGACUAGUCCCCGGAUGAGGGUACCUGAAGAAAAAGCAUCGGCUAACUCCGUGCCAGCAGCCGCGGUAAUACGGAGGGGGCAAGCGUUAUCCGGAUUUACUGGGUGUAAAGGGAGCGUAGACGGAAAGGCAAGUCAGAAGUGAAAACCCAAGGCUCAACCAUGGGAGAGCUUUUGAAACUGGCGGACUGGAGUAGGAGAGAGGUAAGAGGAAUGCGCAGUGUAGCGGUGAAAUGCGUAGAUAUUAGGAAGAACACCGGUGGCGAAGGCGUCUUACUGGACCCAAACUGACGUUGAGGCUCGAAAGCGUGGGGAGCGAACAGGAUUAGAUACCCUAGUAGUC
rnacentral:rRNA from 1 species